rnacentral:rRNA from 1 species
AUUGGACGCUGGCGGCAGGCCUAACAUAUGCAAGUCGAGCGGAUGAGAGGAGCUUGCUCCUUGAUUUAGCGGCGGACGGGUGAGUAAUGCCUAGGAAUCUGCCUGGUAGUGGGGGAUAACGUCCGGAAACGGGCGCUAAUACCGCAUACGUCCUACGGGAGAAAGCAGGGGACCUUCGGGCCUUGCGCUAUCAGAUGAGCCUAGGUCGGAUUAGCUAGUUGGUGAGGUAAUGGCUCACCAAGUCUACGAUCCGUAACUGGUCUGAGAGGAUGAUCAGUCACACUGGAACUGAGACACGGUCCAGACUCCUACGGGAGGCAGCAGUGGGGAAUAUUGGACAAUGGGCGAAAGCCUGAUCCAGCCAUGCCGCGUGUGUGAAGAAGGUCUUCGUAUUGUAAAGCACUUUAAGUUGGGAGGAAGGGCAGUAAAUUAAUACUUUGCUGUUUUGACGUUACCGACAGAAUAAGCACCGGCUAACUUCGUGCCAGCAGCCGCGGUAAAAC